rnacentral:antisense_RNA from 1 species
CACGUGUGAAUCCACCUGUGGAGUGCGUCCCCUCUCUGGGGGCAAGGCCUAGGGGAGGCCGAAGCGGAGAAGUUGCCGGAAGACUGGGAAGUAAGAGCAGGGGCGUCGGAGGAAUCGAAGUUGCAGUGACAUCAGGCUCGGACAUCCGGCGGACUCCUCUCAAGGCCUCAAACUUCUUCAUGGGAAAAAACGGCUUCUCUUUUUUAAUUGAAUGAACUAGAAGAAGUUCAUUGUUAUUCAUCAACUUCAAAGAGACUAUAUGAGGCCCCUUGGCCAGGACUACAGAGUAGUAUUUUUUAAUCAGAAAUUAUGGCCAAAAAGAAGAGGAGACCAGAACACAUGGGUGAAUGUUACUCAAUUAGUGGUUUUCCUUAAAUAGUCUAGUUUCGGUGUGUGGGAGGAAGGAAGUUGCAAGUGCUUAUGUGCCAGGUACUGUGCUAGGAUCUGAGGAUGCAGAAAUGAAGAAAAUGCAAUCCCUGGCCCUCCCACCUGUUGGGGGAAGUGGACUUCGCACCCUGUGGAUAAGGAGUACACAGUGUAGCACUGUGGUUAGAAGCACCAGCUCUGUCAUCGCAGGGCUUGGCUUGUUUCCUGGCU